ACAGUGCUUUCGGGUUGGGGUUUUAUCAAGUCCCCUUUACUGCCUAGGAGGCCUCGACUCCCCGCCGGGACCGGGCCCCUCCCCAUCCCCCCACCAGCCAGGGGCGAGAGAGGCGAGGCUGUAGGGGUCACCUCGGAGCAGGGCCAUGGCGGCGGGCGGCAGCGCAGGGGUCCUCCUCCGCGACGCUGACGUACCGCCCCGGGCACUCGGUCUUUAAGCGCGCGGGGCGGCGCCAGCCUGGCCUCGGCCGCGCCUUUUUACCUACUUCGCGCCGCUCGGCCAGGGCUCUCUCUCUCUUUUGGCAGGACGCGGCCCUCUGCGCCACCCCGUGGGAACCAAGGGUACCAAAACCUCCCGGGGAGACCGGCCUUGGACAAGAGAACGUUCCUCGCAAGCGGAUUUUUUUCCUCAUAUCGCUGUUUUUAAAGACUUUGUCUCCCAAUCAAGAGAAUGAUUUGACUCUACCCUGUCCAUCCUAUCCACGGCCUCUAUACGCCCCGCUACCCCCAACAGUUGAUUGCAUCCAUGGACACAGAACCCAAGGAUACAGAGGGCCUUGACUUUGAAUAAAUGAGACAGGUCUCCCUAUUCCCUGAGACACAAUAGUAUUGAAAUUAGGCCAACUUAUAACCCUGCAGUGGCCUCUUAAGUGCUCAAGUGAAAGGAAGAGUCACACAUCUCUCACAUUAUAUCAAAAGCUAGAAAUGAUGAAACUUAGUGAGGAAGGCAUGUGGAAAGCCAAGAUAGGCUGAAAGCUAGGCCUUUUGCAAACAUUUAGCCAAGUUGUGAAUGAAAAGGAAAAGUUCUUGAAGGAAAUUGAAAGUGGUACUCCAGUGAACACACAAUGAUAAGAAAGCAAAACAGCCUAUCUCUGAUACAGAAGUGUUCAUGGUCUGGAUAGAAGAUCAAGCCCGUCACAACAUUCCCUUAAGCCAAACCCUGGUCCAGAGCAAGGCCCUAACUCUCUUCAGUUCUGUGAAGGCUGAGAGAGGUGAGGAAGCAGCAGAAGAAAAGUUUGAAGCUAGCAGAGGUUGGUCCAUGAGGUUUAAGGAAAGAAGCUGUCUCUAUAACAUCAAAGUGCAAGGUGAAGCAGCAAGUGCUGAUGUAGUAGCUGCAGCAAGUUAUCCAGAAUCUAGCUAAGAUAAUUAAUGAGGGUGGUUAGACUGAACAACAAAUUUUCAAUGCAGACAAAACAGCUGUCUAUUGGAAGAGGAUGCCAUCUAGGACUUUCAUAGCCAGAGAGGAGAAGUCAAUGCCUGACUUCAAAGCUUCGAAGGACAGGCUGACUAUCUUGUUAGGGGCUAAUGGAGCUGGUGACUUGAAGUUGAAGCCAAUCCUCACUUACCUUUCUGAAAAUCUUAGGAUCCUUAAGAAUUAUGCUAAAUCUACUUUGCCUGUGCUCUAUAAAUGGAACAACAAGCCUGGAUUACAGCACAUCUGUUUACCACAUGGUUUUCUGAAUAUUUUAAGCCCAUUGUUGAGACCUCCUGCUCAGAAGAAAAGAUUCCUUUCAAAAUAUGACUGCUCAUUGACAAAGCACCUGGUCACCCAAGAGCUCUGAUGGAGAGGUACAAUGAGAUUUAUGUUGUUUUCAUGCCUGCUAACACAACAUCCAUCGUGCAGCCCAUGGAUCAAGGAGUCAUUUUGACUUUCAAGUCUUAUUGUUUAAGAUAUACAUUUUGUAAGGCUAUAGCUGCCAUACAUAGUGAUUUGAGAAGAUUAACUCUAAUUUUGAAAGAUGUUCUACUGUGGGUAAAAUGCUAUCAAACAUCAUUGCACGCUACGAGCAAUCGUUCAUGAAAGGAAGAGUCAAUAGAUGUGGCAACUUCAUUGUUGUCUUUUUUUUUCUUUAAUUUUAUUUCUUUAUUUAUUUUUAUACAGCACGUUCUUAUUAGUUCUCUAUUUUACACAUAUUAGUGUAUAGAUGUCAAUCAGAAUUGCUGCAGCCACCCAACUUUCAGCAACUACCACGCUGAUCAGUCAGUAGCCAUCAACAUUGAGGCAAGACCCUCCACCAGCAAAAAGUUUAAGAUUUGAAGGUUCAGAUGAUGGUUAGCAUUUUUAAGCAAUAAAGUAUUUUUAGAUUAAGAUAUGUACAUUGUUUUUUUAGACAUAAUGCUAUUGCACACUUCAGUAUAGUGGAAACAUAACUUUUAUAUGCACUAGGAAACCAACAAAUUCAUGUUACUCACUUCAUUGUGAUAUUCACUUUAUUGCAGUGGUCUGCAACCAAACUGGCAGUAUCUCCAAGGUACCUGCCAUAACCUGUAUAACCUGAGGUGUAACCAUGCAGGCCCCUGUUGGUCCUUCCCUGGACAGACCCACCCCCUACCCCCACCCCCACAUCCACCUGCCUCUUGUUGGUAGAAAAACUUUAACCGCCUAUGCCCUCCCUGAGUUCCAAAGAGCAAACUUAAUCAGAGAAUGAGAAAAUGCAGAAACAAAGGAAAACAGUCAAGACAAAAAUAAUAACAGUUUAGCCAUUAAACAAAGUCAAGGACCUUUAGUUCCUCCUCAAGGGCUAUAGAUAAUAUUCUGAGCCAAGUCCUUUGAGCUGUUUUGCAGAUACUGAAACCGCCACCAGGUGGGAGAAGUUAACUGCGUGCUGCCCACAAGCACAUAGACCCCAGACCAGCUGGAACCAGAAGGUUGGUGAUGUUGACUCCUGAUUACCUCGCCACCAACCAGUCAGAAGAAUGUCUAGGAGCAGAUCAGACCGAAGUAGCCUUUGGUUCAUCCAGGAACAUCCCAUCCUCUGGACCUUCAGGACAGUAUCAUUGGGAGCAGAGAAGGGCCAGGAGUGCCACACUAAGAAACAACCACCGGCAGGAACAGACUUGCAGUGGAAGCUGGGCUUGCUCUGAGGCCCUCGGCUGACAGUGACCACACCUGCUGGGUGCUGAGGGCGGUGCACAGGGAGCAGAUGGCCUCUGCAUCCUCGGGGCUCUUCUUCUUUAACUGCAGGAGCUGGGCUGCUUGGAUCAGAGGUUCCAUGGUCUCAGCAACUUCCCUCUGGUGCAGGUUUCUUCCCCGAAGCCACUCCUCCAGCUGACUUAUAUUGUACCUUAGACACAGGAAGAGUGAGCUCUGUUAAAGCUGGCCUCCUACUUCACUGGGAAGAGCUCACCUCCUGUGUUUAUUUUGUAGGCCAGCUGCCAUUAGUGUUAUCAGUCUCCUCAUCUUAAUUGUCUCACGUGGGCAGAAGCGUGAAAAGUACCUGGCACUCAAUAACUUUUUGUGAAAUGAGUGGGUGCUUAAAAUCAAGCCAAGAUGAAGUACCUAAAGUGCCUGUACUAAGUUAAUGAGAAAAAAAGGCAUUAACUAUAUUGAAUUAAAACCACUUAGCAUUUAACAUUCGCAAACAUGUUUGUACUUCUCUGUGAGCCUCCAUGCCUCUUAAGUCAUUACUUUUCCUCUCUGACCUAUCCACCUCAUAUUUACAAUCUUUAUAUUAAAGUAUGUAAACGUGUUUAAGCUCUGAACUAAUUUGUUUACCGGGUCACCAUCUCAGCGUGUGAUGAAUUUCACCAACCAAUAAAAAGGUGAUGGAUCUGAGUCACAUACUAACUGUGACAAGGACAAUCAGUUGGAUUUGGAUUUCAUUUUCAGAGACAAGUGUCCCGUGCCUGACUAGAGCUGGCGUGUGCCAGGCCAAGGCGCUUCUCGUACCUGAGCUGCAUGCCUGUGCUCCAGGAGCAGACGUCCUUCCUCAGAAGCAGGUUGUUGAGAGUCACCGCGGUGAUCAUGUAGAAGAGCUGUUUGAACACCUGGCGGAUGAUCUCGGGGUCCAGGCCCUGGUCGCACAUGACUGUGUGGAAGGAAUUCAUCUGGCGGAUGAUGGCUUCCAGGCAGUAGGAGUUAUCUCCAUCCGCCAGGCUGGAGGUGCGCUUCCGGUAGCCCGUGGGCUUCACCCCAGACAGACCCUGAAUGCUCUCGUUCUCCAGCAUGGCAGACACUGAAAGAAAAGCAUGAUUAGAGAAGCUGCAUGUUCCCAAAGAAGAUCUGUUUUCGGGUCACUGAGAUCACACAGUACUCAGGGCUUUGUCAGUGAUCCCACCCAGAGGUGAACAAGGUCGACAUGCUCAGGAACUUGCAGCAUUUGGCAUGGAAUUUCUAACCUGUUGAUUUCUACACAGAAUAGGACUUCCACAUAGAAAUCUUGGACUAAACCUGUGGACCAAAUUUUCGCUUAAAUUUACUGGUGAUGGGACAGAGGUGAAAGGCACGUACCAACUUAAUUCUGUACUGGCUUCUGUGCUGAGAGACCAGAAUUGAGCAACUUGGGUGUAGUCAGGGCCCAGCCACUGACCUGGGCCUGGACCCUGAGAUCAUCCUAUAGUUGUUCAAAUAGCUUUUCUCCAUCAGCCACCGACCAUGUAAAUCUUAGGUGAGCUGGUCUGUCAUACUUACUGCACAGCACUUAACUACAGGUCAGGCACUUUUAAUCUUCCAACAACCCAUUUCCUAAUGAGGAAAUUGAGGCAUAAAGAGGUUAAAUAACUUGCCCAAAGUCACCCUGCUAGGAAGUGGCAGGGCCAGGAUUUGAACCCCGGUCUGUCUGAUGCUGUUAACCAUCAUCUUCUCUGAGUCAUGAAACAUCCCCAGUUCUCCCUAUGUCUGGUGAGAAUAAACUGGCGCCUCAUAAGAAGAGUCUCAGACAGGAAGAAGGAUUUGGAAUGAAUCUUAUCCCAAGGGAUAUAUUUCUGGAUGGCAUGUAGGACUCUGUCCUACUUGGAAUUCUCUUAUAACCUACUUGUGUUGUAAGAACCUGGGGAAAGAAUUACUUACAUGGUCCAGGAGACUACUUCCUCAACAGCCUUUAAGGAGCACAGUGAGUGAUGCAUAUACGUGUCACUUUUCUUGUGACUUAAAAAAUAACUGCUCUUAUUUUCAAAUCUGAUUUCAUGUUAAGUGCCCAAGUGUACUGCUUUGGACAGAAUGUUCAAUAAAUAUUGAUUGCA